rnacentral:rRNA from 1 species
AGAAGACCCUGUGGAGCUAUUAAACCAAACUCACAAAAAUGACCACUUGGUUUUCAGUUGGGGCGACUUCGGAGUAUAAAAACCCCUCCGAUAUGGUACUAAUUAAACUUAGAUGGACACAUCAAUACACCAAGACCCAGUAGGUUGCCUUUCACCUACCUGAUCAAUGAACCAAGUUACCCCAGGGAUAACAGCGCCAUCCUUUCUUAGAGUCCCUAUCGACGAAAGGGCUUACGACCUCGAUGUUGGAUCAGGACA